GAUGAACGCUGGCGGCGUGCCUAAUACAUGCAAGUCGAGCGAACAGACGAGGAGCUUGCUCCUCUGACGUUAGCGGCGGACGGGUGAGUAACACGUGGAUAACCUACCUAUAAGACUGGGAUAACUUUGGGAAACCGGAGCUAAUACCGGAUAAUAUAUUGAACCGCAUGGUUCAAUAGUGAAAGACGGUUUUGCUGUCACUUAUAGAUGGAUCCGCGCCGCAUUAACUAGUUGGUAAGGUAACGGCUUACCAAGGCGACGAUGCGUAGCCGACCUGAGAGGGUGAUCGGCCACACUGGAACUGAGACACGGUCCAGACUCCUACGGGAGGCAGCAGUAGGGAAUCCUCCGCAAUGGGCGAAAGCCUGACGGAGCAACGCCGCGUGAGUGAUGAAGGUCUUCGGAUCGUAAAACUCUGUUAUUAGGGAAGAACAAAUGUGUAAGUAACUAUGCACGUCUUGACGGUACCUAAUCAGAAAGCCACGGCUAACUACGUG
rnacentral:rRNA from 1 species